rnacentral:lncRNA from 1 species
ACUAGUAUACAGUACAACAGAGGUUGGAUAUCAUGUAUCUUGGACAUGUCUCCUGAGCUAAACUUUAAUAAGGCUCGGGUGGAGGAAGCAUGUCGAAGGUUUGGUGAGAUAAAAGAAAACAAGAACCGUAGAAUCUGUCUAGAGUAGGAAUAUUCUUGAAGAAAACAAGAACCGUAGAAUCUGUCUAGAGUAGGAAUAUCCUUGAAGCCAAGUUUAGAUCAACAAUGUCUAAAAGCAUUGUUGAAAUAUUCUCCAGAAAUAUAUUUCUAUAACAUUUAUAUUAUACCUUACAAUUUUUAUAAUACUCAAUUAAUCGAAUAAUAGAGAAACAUUUUCAUUAUA